CCUACGGGAGGCAGCAGUGGGGAAUUUUGGACAAUGGGCGAAAGCCUGAUCCAGCAAUGCCGCGUGAGUGAAGAAGGCCUUCGGGUUGUAAAGCUCUUUUGUCAGGGAAGAAACGGUGUGGGCUAAUAUCCUGCACUAAUGACGGUACCUGAAGAAUAAGCACCGGCUAACUACGUGCCAGCAGCCGCGGUAAUACGUAGGGUGCAAGCGUUAAUCGGAAUUACUGGGCGUAAAGCGUGCGCAGGCGGUUUUGUAAGUCUGUCGUGAAAUCCCCGGGCUCAACCUGGGAAUUGCGAUGGAGACUGCAAGGCUAGAAUCUGGCAGAGGGGGGUAGAAUUCCACGUGUAGCAGUGAAAUGCGUAGAGAUGUGGAGGAACACCGAUGGCGAAGGCAGCCCCCUGGGUCAAGAUUGACGCUCAUGCACGAAAGCGUGGGGAGCAAACAGGAUUAGAUACCCUGGUAGUCCACGCCCUAAACGAUGUCUACUAGUUGUCGGGUUUUAAUUAACUUGGUAACGCAGCUAACGCGUGAAGUAGACCGCCUGGGGAGUACGGUCGCAAGAUUAAAACNCAAAUGAAUUGACGG
rnacentral:rRNA from 1 species